AAAGAAGCGGCUGGCGACUCCACAUGUAUCGGAGGAGACGUGGUAGUUUGCAGCCCUCCCCGGAUCGGCAGAGGGGGUGGAGCGGUGACCAGGAAGGCUCGGAAGAGUGGGGUAUGGACGGUGAUAAAGAGUUGCUCCCUCCACGAUAGCAUCAGUUUCAUGGACUUGAGCAUGGAGCCUGGGUUCCUCAGCAGGACAUCCAUCAGAAGGACCUUGCAGUUUCUCCUCCAUGAGGUCUCAUCUACUCAAGUAUUGAUGAGGACCACUUCAAGUCCAUUGGAUAACCUAGAAAUCACACGGGUCAUCUUUCCAUG